rnacentral:lncRNA from 1 species
GUUUGUGCAUGAUUACGAUUCUGAUGGAUAUGGUAAAGUUUCUAUGGAUGAGUUCACUAGAGAACGGGAUGAUGAAGCUCUCAGAUAUCCUGCUACCCAUGAGAGCAGGGACCAUUCUCUUAAGAGUGGUAGAUCUAAUGAAUUCAUUAGAGAAAGGGAAGAUGGAGCUCGCAGAUAUCCUGCUACCCAUGAGAGCAGGGACCAUUCUCUUAAGAGUGGUAGAUCUAAUGAAUUCACUAGAGAAAGGGAAAAUGGAGGUCCCAGAUAUCCUGCUACCUACGAGAGCAGGGACCAUUCUCCUAAGAGUGGUAGAUCUAAUGAAUUCACUAGUGAAAGGGAAGAUGGAGCUCCCAGAUAUCCUACUACCCAUGAGAGCAGGGACUAUUCUCUUAAGAGUGGUAGAUCUAAUGAAUUCACUAGUGAAAGGGAAGAUGGAGCUCCCAGAUAUCCUACUACCCACGAGAGCAGGGACUAUUCUCUUAAGAGCGGUAGAUCUAAUGAUGAAUAUGGCAAAGUUUUUAUGGAUGAAUUCACUAGAGAAAGAGAAGUUGGCAGAAGGCACAGAGAUAAUUCUUUUGAGCACGGUGGCCGGCAUGUGCCUAACCGCACUAUUGAUGCUCCUUGCAAAUUUUUUGCUAGUGGAAAUUGUCGA